rnacentral:rRNA from 1 species
UGGGGAAUAUUGGGCAAUGGGCGCAAGCCUGACCCAGCCACGCCGCGUGAGUGAUGAAGGCCUUCGGGUCGUAAAGCUCUGUGGGGAGGGACGAAGAAGACGCCGCGAAUAGCAGGCGUUGGUGACGGUACCUCCUUAGCAAGCACCGGCUAACUCCGUGCCAGCAGCCGCGGUAAUACGGAGGGUGCAAACGUUGCUCGGAAUCAUUGGGCGUAAAGCGAGCGUAGGCGGUCGCGUAAGUCGGAUGUGAAAGCCCUCGGCUCAACCGAGGAAGUGCACCCGAAACUGUGCGACUUGAGUGUCGGAGAGGGUGACGGAAUUCCCGGUGUAGAGGUGAAAUUCGUAGAUAUCGGGAGGAACACCAGUGGCGAAGGCGGUCACCUGGACGAUAACUGACGCUGAGGCUCGAAAGCGUGGGGAGCAAACAGG